rnacentral:rRNA from 1 species
CAGUCGCCGCGGGAAUACAGAGGGUGCGAGCGUUAAUCGGAUUUACUGGGCGUAAAGCGUGCGUAGGCGGCUAAUUGAGUCGGAUGUGAAAUCCCCGAGCUUAACUUGGGAAUUGCAUUCGAUACUGGUUAGCUAGAGUGUGGGAGAGGAUGGUAGAAUUCCAGGUGUAGCGGUGAAAUGCGUAGAGAUCUGGAGGAAUACCGAUGGCGAAGGCAGCCAUCUGGUCUAACACUGACGCUGAGGUACGAAAGCAUGGGGAGCAAACAGGAUUAGAUACCCCUGUAGUCCCUGUCUCUUAUAC